CUGCAACCUUUACUUUGAACCC
rnacentral:miRNA from 1 species